GCUGAAUAUUUUAAAAAGAGAGCAGGAAACAUUGUAUACUUGAAUAGUAUUUUAUUACAAUAUAUCUUAAUUAUUGGAACGAGACAUGUUUUUAUAAGUUUAUGUCAAUAAUUCAUUAUUUCAUGAUACAAAAUGACGCCCAUUAAUCGCUUUGACCAAACAGCUCAACGAGAUUAAUCUUUUAAGUUCCUCUUAGUUUUUGGAAAUACUUCCUAGAGUAAUGCAUAAAACGAGUCAAAACGGUCAAUGUAUGUUUCCAAUUCAAGCUUUGGCUAUCAAGGAUACUAACGAAGUAAAAAAAAAAUGCAAAAGUAAUCGAUGAUUGUAUUUGUGUUAAGGUCAAUGAUAAGUAAAUGAUCAGUUCAAAG
rnacentral:lncRNA from 1 species